GGUUAAGUUAGAAAGGGCGCACGGUGGAUGCCUUGGCACUAGGAGCCGAUGAAGGACGGGACGAACACCGAUAUGCUUCGGGGAGCUGUAAGCAAGCUUUGAUCCGGAGAUUUCCGAAUGGGGAAACCCACCACUCGUAAUGGAGUGGUAUCCAUAUCUGAAUACAUAGGAUAUGAGAAGGCAGACCCGGGGAACUGAAACAUCUAAGUACCCGGAGGAAGAGAAAGCAAAUGCGAUUCCCUGAGUAGCGGCGAGCGAAACGGGACCAGCCCAAACCAAGAGGCUUGCCUCUUGGGGUUGUAGGACACUCUGUACGGAGUUACAAAGGAACGAGGUAGAUGAAGAGGUCUGGAAAGGCCCGCCAUAGGAGGUAACAGCCCUGUAGUCAAAACUUCGUUCUCUCCUGAGUGGAUCCUGAGUACGGCGGAACACGUGAAAUUCCGUCGGAAUCCGGGAGGACCAUCUCCUAAGGCUAAAUACUCCCUAGUGACCGAUAGUGAACCAGUACCGUGAGGGAAAGGUGAAAAGCACCCCGGAAGGGGAGUGAAAGAGAUCCUGAAACCGUGUGCCUACAAGUAGUCAGAGCCCGUUAACGGGUGAUGGCGUGCCUUUUGUAGAAUGAACCGGCGAGUUACGAUCCCGUGCAAGGUUAAGCAGAAGAUGCGGAGCCGCAGCGAAAGCGAGUCUGAAUAGGGCGAAUUGAGUACGUGGUCGUAGACCCGAAACCAGGUGAUCUACCCAUGUCCAGGGUGAAGUUCAGGUAACACUGAAUGGAGGCCCGAACCCACGCACGUUGAAAAGUGCGGGGAUGAGGUGUGGGUAGGGGUGAAAUGCCAAUCGAACCUGGAGAUAGCUGGUUCUCUCCGAAAUAGCUUUAGGGCUAGCCUCAAGGUAAGAGUCUCGGAGGUAGAGCACUGAUUGGACUAGGGGCCCCUACCGGGUUACCGAAUUCAGUCAAACUCCGAAUGCCGAUGACUUAUCCUUGGGAGUCAGACUGCGAGUGAUAAGAUCCGUAGUCGAAAGGGAAACAGCCCAGACCGCCAGCUAAGGUCCCAAAGUAUACGUUAAGUGGAAAAGGAUGUGGAGUUGCUUAGACAACCAGGAUGUUGGCUUAGAAGCAGCCACCAUUUAAAGAGUGCGUAAUAGCUCACUGGUCGAGUGACUCUGCGCCGAAAAUGUACCGGGGCUAAACGUAUCACCGAAGCUGCGGACUGUUCUUCGAACAGUGGUAGGAGAGCGUUCUAAGGGCUGUGAAGCAAGACCGGAAGGACUUGUGGAGCGCUUAGAAGUGAGAAUGCCGGUAUGAGUAGCGAAAGAGGGGUGAGAAUCCCCUCCACCGAAUGCCUAAGGUUUCCUGAGGAAGGCUCGUCCGCUCAGGGUUAGUCGGGACCUAAGCCGAGGCCGAAAGGCGUAGGCGAUGGAUAACAGGUUGAUAUUCCUGUACCACCUCCUCACCAUUUGAGCAAUGGGGGGACGCAGGAGGAUAGGGUAAGCGCGGUAUUGGAUAUCCGCGUCCAAGCAGUUAGGCUGGGAAAUAGGCAAAUCCGUUUCCCGUGAAGGCUGAGCUGUGAUGGCGAGCGAAUUAUAGUAGCGAAGUUCCUGAUUCCACACUGCCAAGAAAAGCCUCUAGCGAGGUGAGAGGUGCCCGUACCGCAAACCGACACAGGUAGGCGAGGAGAGAAUCCUAAGGUGAUCGAGAGAACUCUCGUUAAGGAACUCGGCAAAAUGACCCCGUAACUUCGGGAGAAGGGGUGCUCUGUUAGGGUGCAAGCCCGAGAGAGCCGCAGUGAAUAGGCCCAGGCGACUGUUUAGCAAAAACACAGGUCUCUGCGAAGCCGUAAGGCGAAGUAUAGGGGCUGACGCCUGCCCGGUGCUGGAAGGUUAAGAGGAGCGCUUAGCGUAAGCGAAGGUGCGAAUUGAAGCCCCAGUAAACGGCGGCCGUAACUAUAACGGUCCUAAGGUAGCGAAAUUCCUUGUCGGGUAAGUUCCGACCCGCACGAAAGGCGCAACGAUCUGGGCACUGUCUCAACGAGAGACUCGGUGAAAUUAUAGUACCUGUGAAGAUGCAGGUUACCCGCGACAGGACGGAAAGACCCCGUGGAGCUUUACUGCAGCCUGAUAUUGAAUGUUGGUACAGCUUGUACAGGAUAGGUAGGAGCCUUGGAAACCGGAGCGCCAGCUUCGGUGGAGGCAUCGGUGGGAUACUACCCUGGCUGUAUUGACCUUCUAACCCGCCGCCCUUAUCGGGCGGGGAGACAGUGUCAGGUGGGCAGUUUGACUGGGGCGGUCGCCUCCUAAAAGGUAACGGAGGCGCCCAAAGGUUCCCUCAGAAUGGUUGGAAAUCAUUCGCAGAGUGUAAAGGCACAAGGGAGCUUGACUGCGAGACCUACAAGUCGAGCAGGGACGAAAGUCGGGCUUAGUGAUCCGGUGGUUCCGCAUGGAAGGGCCAUCGCUCAACGGAUAAAAGCUACCCCGGGGAUAACAGGCUUAUCUCCCCCAAGAGUCCACAUCGACGGGGAGGUUUGGCACCUCGAUGUCGGCUCAUCGCAUCCUGGGGCUGUAGUCGGUCCCAAGGGUUGGGCUGUUCGCCCAUUAAAGCGGUACGCGAGCUGGGUUCAGAACGUCGUGAGACAGUUCGGUCCCUAUCCGUCGCGGGCGCAGGAAAUUUGAGAGGAGCUGUCCUUAGUACGAGAGGACCGGGAUGGACGCACCGCUGGUGUACCAGUUGUUCUGCCAAGGGCAUCGCUGGGUAGCUAUGUGCGGACGGGAUAAGUGCUGAAAGCAUCUAAGCAUGAAGCCCCCCUCAAGAUGAGAUUUCCCAUUCCGCAAGGAAGUAAGAUCCCUGAAAGAUGAUCAGGUUGAUAGGUCUGAGGUGGAAGUGUGGCGACACAUGGAGCUGACAGAUACUAAUCGAUCGAGGACUUAACCAA
rnacentral:rRNA from 1 species